GACGAACGCUGGCGGCGUGCUUAACACAUGCAAGUCGAACGGAAAGGCCCUGCUUUUGUGGGGUGCUCGAGUGGCGAACGGGUGAGUAACACGUGAGUAACCUGCCCUUGACUUUGGGAUAACUUCAGGAAACUGGGGCUAAUACCGGAUAGGAGCUCCUGCUGCAUGGUGGGGGUUGGAAAGUUUCGGCGGUUGGGGAUGGACUCGCGGCUUAUCAGCUUGUUGGUGGGGUAGUGGCUUACCAAGGCUUUGACGGGUAGCCGGCCUGAGAGGGUGACCGGCCACAUUGGGACUGAGAUACGGCCCAGACUCCUACGGGAGGCAGCAGUGGGGAAUGUUGCACAAUGGGCGGAAGCCUGAUGCAGCAACGCCGCGUGCGGGAUGACGGCCUUCGGGUUGUAAACCGCUUUCGCCUGUGACGAAGCGUGAGUGACGGUAAUGGGUAAAGAAGCACCGGCUAACUACGU
rnacentral:rRNA from 1 species